rnacentral:lncRNA from 1 species
GGACACGAGGGGAAUGGUUCAUGUGGGUUUCUUUGAAGCCCAUGUGGGUGUCUCCACGUAGACCAAGGAGCACAUGUGGACUCCUCCCCAGUGACCCCAUAACCUGAGAAAAGGAGCCAGAGUGGACUCUGGUGUGUGAUCUGGGACCCAGCUACACCAGAAACUCAUACGACAGGCACUGACACUGUGUGGGACAGGAGGACAGACCAUGGGGCACUGUGUGGGGUAGGAGGAUGGACCAUGGGACAGUACAUGGGACAGGGGAUAGACCAUGGGACACUGAUGACAAAGAAUAACGAGGAACGUUCAUAGCUAGGAACGGGCUUCCACAGGUCACCUAAGAGCAUCAGCUCCCUCUUUUCCUUUCUAUGAUGUCACAGAAAGUCACACGGGUUUGGAGUCUAGCCACCCGGGACGGAGAGAUGAGGGUGUUGGAGCUACAAGACCCAGGGAUCGUCUCAGUGGAGCUGAGUUGAGCUGAGGGCCCCGGAGAAGAGCCCUCCUUGUAACAUCAUCCCUGUCCCAGGGCGAGAGCCUGAUGGCAGCAUCUAAUUUGUUUUCCUGCACAUGAGUGGGUAUUAACAAUUGCUGCGAUGUCAUUUCCUGCUGGGGACAGAGUGUGAUGGAGCUGCUGUGAGAAGCUGCCUGCUGGCAUCGCUGCAGAAGCUGGGAGGGAGUCCUGGCUCCAGGGAGGCCCCCUCCCUCCCUGCACCCCUAGUAGCUCCUGGGAGCCCUUCUCCAACCCUCUGGGUCUUGCUUACUUCAGAUGGAGGCCGCAAGCAUCCACCAUGCUUGGUGAAUCUGAGACACAAAAGCCCCCCCUCUUGACCUUGAGGGGCUCCCGCUUUGAGGUUCUUGCCCCAUCCUGCCAUGGGCCAGCGGGCUACAUCUGGGCAGGGUGGCGGGAAUGUGACAGACAACAGCAACAUCACUGCCCGUCUUUCUGAUGGUAAAUAUCCUCCAGACCCAUCAAAUUGUCCAAGGCCAAGGUCACAUGCCACCUCCUCUCUGAAGACAUCUUUAACUUGCCUCCCUUUCUAAGCCCUGACCAUCACCCUCCUCCUCCUCAUGAUAAUAAUGAAAUAAUAAAACCAUCCGGAUGGAGAAUUUACUACGUGUU